GAUGAACGCUGGCGGCGUGCCUAAUACAUGCAAGUCGAGCGAACAGACGAGGAGCUUGCUCCUCUGACGUUAGCGGCGGACGGGUGAGUAACACGUGGAUAACCUACCUAUAAGACUGGGAUAACUUCGGGAAACCGGAGCUAAUACCGGAUAAUAUAUUGAACCGCAUGGUUCAAUAGUGAAAGACGGUUUUGCUGUCACUUAUAGAUGGAUCCGCGCCGCAUUAGCUAGUUGGUAAGGUAACGGCUUACCAAGGCAACGAUGCGUAGCCGACCUGAGAGGGUGAUCGCCCACACUGGAACUGAGACGCGGUCCAGACUCCUACGGGAGGCAGCAGUAGGGAAUCUUCCGCAAUGGGCGAAAGCCUGACGGAGCAACGCCGCGUGAGUGAUGAAGGUCUUCGGAUCGUAAAACCCUGUUAUUAGGGAAGAACAAAUGUGUAAGUAACUAUGCACGUCUUGACGGUACCUAAUCAGAAAGCCACGGCUAACUACGUG
rnacentral:rRNA from 1 species